rnacentral:rRNA from 1 species
UGCGCAGGCGGACUAUUAAGUCAGUGGUGAAAUCUCUCGGCUCAACCGAGAAACCGCCAUUGAAACUGAUAGCCUUGAGUGUAGUUGUAGUAGGCGGAAUAUAGCAUGUAGCGGUGAAAUGCUUAGAUAUGCUAUAGAACACCGAUCGCGAAGGCAGCUUACUAAACUAUUACUGACGCUCAUGCACGAAAGCGUGGGGAGCAAACAGGAUUAGAUACCCUGGUAGUCC